rnacentral:rRNA from 1 species
AGCUAUUGCUAUCGGGGUCCGAUUCAGCCAUGCUAGUUGUACGGCUUUAGACCCGUAGCAAAUAGCUCCGUAACACGUGGUCAAUCUACCCUCUGGACCGGAAUGCCCUCGGGAAACUGAGGCUAAUUCCCGCAUACUGCUUUCAUGUUGGAACACAGAAAGUCGGAAACGGUCCGCCGCCGGAGGACGUGACUGCGGCCGAUUAGGUAGACGGUGGGGUAACGGCCCACCGUGCCCGAUAAUCGGUACGGGUUGUGAGAGCAAGAACCCGGAGACGGUAUCUGAGACAAGAUACCGGGCCCUACGGGGCGCAGCAGGCGCGAAACCUUUACACUGCACGCCAGUGCGAUAAGGGGACCCCGAGUGCGAGGGCAUACAGUCCUCGCUUUUCGUGACCGUAAGAAGGUCUCAGAAUAAGAGCUGGGCAAGACCGGUGCCAGCCGCCGCGGUAAUACCGGCAGCUCGAGUGAUAGCCACUAUUAUUGGGCCUAAAGCGUCCGUAGGCGGCCGAACAGGUCCGUCGGGAAAUCCACCCGCUCAACGGGUG